GGGUGCGAUCAUACCACCACUAAUGCACCGGAUCCCAUCAGAACUCCGUAGUCAAGCGUGC
rnacentral:rRNA from 1 species